rnacentral:tRNA from 1 species
GGAAAGCUGCCAGAGUGGUCGAUCGGGACUGACUCGAAAUCAGUUGUACCCUUACGGGUACCGGGGGUUCGAAUCCCUCGCUUUCCG